GACGAACGCUGGCGGCGUGCCUAAUACAUGCAAGUCGAACGAACCGCGACUAGGUGCUUGCACUUGGUCAAGGUGAGUGGCGAACGGGUGAGUAACACGUGGGUAACCUACCUCAUAGUGGGGGAUAACAGUCGGAAACGACUGCUAAUACCGCAUAGGACAUAGGAUCACAUGAUUCUGUGAGGAAAGGUGGCGCAAGCUAUCGCUAAGAGAUGGACCCGCGGUGCAUUAGCUAGUUGGUAGGGUAAAGGCCUACCAAGGCGAUGAUGCAUAGCCGACCUGAGAGGGUGAUCGGCCACAUUGGGACUGAGACACGGCCCAAACUCCUACGGGAGGCAGCAGUAGGGAAUCUUCCGCAAUGGACGCAAGUCUGACGGAGCAACGCCGCGUGAGUGAAGAAGGUCUUCGGAUCGUAAAGCUCUGUUGUUAGAGAAGAACAGCGCAUAGAGUAACUGUUAUGCGUGUGACGGUAUCUAACCAGAAAACCACGGCUAACUACGU
rnacentral:rRNA from 1 species